AAACAACAAAGGUGACAACAGAAGACAUCAACAAGAUGCAGUACAUCUUUUUCCAAAAACAGAAUGAGCUGGCCGAUGUCCAAAUCCGAAGCUUCGCAGCAAUGGAGACAUUCUUCAAGUGUGCCACUGAAAAAAUGCAAGAGAAGGAACAAUCCUUCAGCCAAACACUAGCGGGAUUCAUGGACCAGUGAUAUAAUACGUCUCAAGUUCCCCUUGCCACCUCAACCCCUGAUUUCAAG